GUGAAGCACCUGACAUCAUUUGCUUAGUGAUCAUUAUCAGCAGUUCACCUCCUUCAUUGUCAUCCAGAUGGACACUUUGAACAGAGCAAAUGAUGUCUCAACUGUACCUGUUCCUUUUGUGGUCCUCCAUUCCUCUACUUCCUUGUGAAGAAGAGCGUGUGCUGCUCUCCCAAAUGCCCCGGUGGGUGAUACGGCAGCCUGAAGAAGACAUGGGCAAAAUACAAUGCUACCAGAACAACACAAAUCACAACUGGAUGUAUUGGUACCGGCAGAAGAAAGCACAAGGAAAGCUGGAACUCAUUGGCAGCAUAAUGAAAGGGAAUUCAGCCCCUGCGCUUGAAGAGGAGUUUGACGACCCAAGGUUCAAAAUAGAACAUGACCAAGACAAGCACUGCUCGCUGCAGAUAACCAAGCUGAUGCCCGAGGACACUGCUUUGUACUUCUGCGCCUCUAACCCACAGUGCUGCAAACCUCCAGGAACUCCCCACAAGAACAGGGCUAUGGGGUCUGCAUUUCUAAUGCCAGUAAUGGUGAAGACACAUGUAGCGUUUAAAGAGCGGUCACAAUGGGUUCUACGGUGAGAGCCCAGCUUCGCAAUUUAAACAAGAGAAAGA